UCCAAGUAAUCUUUGUUAUUUUGUCACGAAAUAACCACAUAUUAUAACAAAGAAGGAAAUAUUGUGCACCUCGUGAUCGACUCGAUAGUUUGAUAUCGAAAGUGAAUUGUGUGUGGUGUUAGGCUACGUUGUAAACAAAUGUAGUUCCUUGUAUAUAACAACUUAAUGCCAUAUUGAUAUCAUAAAACUUAAAGAUUUGCAAUUCAAUAUGAUUAAAAUUGUAAUAAAUAACGCUCGACACUUUGUUACAGAACGAUAUUCUGAUUUAAAAAAAAUCAUUAUUUAAUCAGCGGUUAUUUUUGGAACGCGGAGUAAUACACUGACCUUGGUUACACUACAGUCAUUAUCAAAGUACGACAAACACUCAUGAAAACUUAUUUUGUUUAAAUAAAAAUAGUUUACUGAAUAAAAAGUGGGAUAAAUAGAAUAAUAGGUUAGUGUUGAUUAUAGAUCAGGUUUAUCAUGCUCGGCACGAAAACGAAAAAGCACUCGCCAAGGCUCGUGCUUUUUGUUUUCUAAGCCUCGCAUGAUAAACCUGAUCUAUAAUCAACACUAACCUAUUAUUCUCUAUAUAUAACAUUGUAAAACUUAGUUGCACAAUUAAGUUUAAUCAAUACACAGAAGUAUACUUGUUAUGAUUCAAUAAAACUAAAGUGGACAAUUCAAGAACAGGAAUGAAGCUAAAAUGUAUACAUGGGGAUAAACCACGUGGAGAACAACGAACACCAUACAUAGCGGUGGAUGCAGUCUUUUUAAACCUAAAUGCACGCUGAUUGGACCACGUUAAAGAACAAGUGAUUGUCGCUGGUAUGCGGGUCUUGACAUGGCGGACCAAAUCAUUGAGGGAGGUCGCAUCAUCGCUUACAGGUUCGAGUGGGUCUUUGGGAUGUGGUCCGCAUGGUUCGUCCCUGGCUUGAACGACCUUGACAUAAGGUUCAACAUCAACGCAGCGACUUGUGCCGUUCCGGUGAAGGCCAAAUCACUGAGAAGAAUGUGAUCACAUUUCUAUGACAGCAAACACGAGUUUAUCAUUUGUAAGCCGAAUUAAUUUGGAGUGCGAAGUUAAAUUUUUAGUUUAAUACUUGAUGCAGGACUUGUUUAAUAAUCCCGUAUUCGUUCAGUUGGCUUAUGCAUGUGUAUACCAAACGUUCGUGUACACUUUAUUCAUAUUGCAUAAUACAUUUAUUUAGAUUA